AUUGAACGCUGGCGGCAGGCCUAACACAUGCAAGUCGAACGAGUGGCGGACGGGUGAGUAAUGUAUGGGAAACUGCCUGAUGGCGGGGGAUAACUACUGGAAACGGUAGCUAAUACCGCAUACCAUCAGAUGGGCCCAGAUGGGAUUGGCUGGUUGGUGGGGUAACGGCUCACCAAGGCGACGAUCCAUAGCUGGUCUGAGAGGAUGACCAGCCACACUGGAACUGAGACACGGCCCAGACUCCUACGGGAGGCAGCAGUGGGGAAUAUGGCACAAUGGGUGAAAGCCUGAUGCAGCCAUGCCGCGUGGAUGAAGAAGGCCUUCGGGUUGUAAAGUACUUUUAGCGGGGAGGCGGUACCCGCAGAAGAAGCACCGGCUAACUCCGUGCCAGCAGCCGCGGUAAUAC
rnacentral:rRNA from 1 species